GAUUGAAGAAAAAGAGAAGAAUGAAGAAUCAAGUGAAGUUGAGGAGAAAAAUCAUGUCAAAACAGGAGAAAAACCUAUGAGUUGCACUCAAACCAAACAGAAAGAUUUAAAGAAAAGAAGAGCCAAGAAAUCUUUCACCUGCACUCAGUGUGGAAAGAGUUUAACACGCAAAACAAAUCUUAAGCGUCACAUGAGAGUUCAUACUGGAGAGAAACCGUUCACUUGUGAUCAGUGUGGCAAGAGUUUCUCACAAUCAGCACACCUUUAUGAUCACAUGAACAUCCACACUAGAGAGAACCAGCACGCAUGUGAUCAGUGUGGUAAAAUAUUUUUACGGGCUUCAGUUCUGAAGAAACACCUCAAAGUUCAUUCAAAGGAGAAGCCACAUUCAUGUUAUUUGUGUGGUAACAGUUUUUUGCAUCUACAAAAUUUGAAAGUACGUCAGAAAAUGCAUCCUGCUGUGACAGAGUGCAUGUGCUUUGAGUGUGAAAAGACUUUUACUUCAGCAACCUGUUUAAAACUGCAUGAGAGGAUUCACACUGGAGAAAAACCUUAUAGGUGUCCACAUUGCAACAAGAGAUUCAGUGAUUCAGGAGACCUAAAAAGACAUGAGAGGAUCCACACUGGAGUGAAACCUUAUAAGUGUUCACUCUGUGACAAGAGAUUCAGUCAGUCAGUACAUCUGAAAAGACACAAUAAUAUCCACACUGGAGAGAAACCUUAUAAGUGUUCACACUGUGACAAGAGAUUCAAUAGGUCAGGAGACCUGAAAACACAUGAGAGGAUCCAUAUUGGAGUGAAACCUUAUAAGUGUUCACACUGUGACAAGAGAUUCAGUCAAUCAACACAUCUGAAAACACAUGAGAGGAUUCACACUGGAGAGAAACCUUACAAGUGUUCACACUGUGACAAGAGAUUCAGUCGGUCAGCAAAUCUGAAAAAACAUGAGAGGAUCCACACUGGAGAGAAACCUUACAAGUGUUCACACUGUGACAAGAGAUUCAGUCAUUCAUCAAAUCUAAAAAGACACGAGAGGAUCCACACUGGAGAGUAACCAUAUCACUGCACUGCAUGUGGGAAGCGUUUCAAUCACUCAUCUGCUCUACACAGUCAUACAAAAAACAAUCACAGUAAGUAGAUCAUCUUCAGAUCCAGCACUUUCAGGUCUGAUGCUGCGAUCUCACCAAAUGCCAGAUAAUAAUGCGGGCAAGCUAAAAAAUAUAUAAUCUGGAUAAAUCUGUCCUAACUGUACACAUGUAAUCUAUGUGGAAAGAGUUUAAAAUGCAAAUACAAUCUUGAUGUUCACAUGAGAGAUCCACACUGGAGAGAAAC